rnacentral:rRNA from 1 species
UACGUAGGGUGCGAGCGUUGUCCGGAAUUACUGGGCGUAAAGAGUUCGUAGGCGGUUUGUCGCGUCGUUCGUGAAACUUGGGGACUUAACUCCAAGCGUGCGGGCGAUACGGGCAGACUUGAGUACUACAGGGGAGACUGGAAUUCCUGGUGUAGCGGUGAAAUGCGCAGAUAUCAGGAGGAACACCGGUGGCGAAGGCGGGUCUCUGGGCCACUACUGACGCUGAGAAGCGAAAGCAUGGGGAGCGAACAGG